rnacentral:rRNA from 1 species
GACAGAGGGUGCAAACGUUGUUCGGAAUUACUGGGCGUAAAGCGUGUGUAGGCGGCUUUGCAAGUCGGAUGUGAAAGCCCCGGGCUCAACCCGGGAAGUGCACUCGAUACUGCAGAGCUUGAGUGUCGGAGAGGUUGGUGGAAUUCUCGGUGUAGAGGUGAAAUUCGUAGAUAUCGAGAGGAACACCGGCGGCGAAGGCGGCCAACUGGACGACUACUGACGCUGAGACACGAAAGCGUGGGGAGCAAACAGG